GCUCCCCUGUCUGGUCCCAGAGCAAAGACAUGGGGAGGCCUCUCACAACAGACACAUUGUAUGGGUGAGAAAUAAGCCUUUGUUCAUGAACGUUCCAUUGGCUGCAUAUCCUUCAGCUUCCCUGAUCUAUAUGCUCACUGGCAGACACAGUCAACUUUGGUAGCUGAAAGCACUCAUUUGAUUACAUUUGCAAUGCCAUAGUGAGGAACUUAGUCCUUGGCGAAGUCACUGGCACACAGCAGGGAUUGCUGCGGAUAUCUACCAACAACGUCCCGACAAUAAAAGGCUUCGCUUACAGUGAUCACACAGUGCUACGGAAAAGCCCGAAUGUUUAUGACCAUAGUAAGAGUAUUACUACCGAAGAUUUCCUGGAAACACAAAGAAGGGGCUACACUGAAAGGUGCCUCCACUGUUCCUCAGAACUGCAGAAGGGAAACAACAGCUUUCGCGAACAACAUCCAGGAAGAAGUUGAAGGUGUUCUGGUGUUUAGAAUAUGGCUUUUUUCCAGGU